rnacentral:lncRNA from 1 species
UGUUGUCAAGAUUUACUCAGCUUGAAGGUUUUUCUAUACCAUUACAUCAUGUUUGAAUCGAAACAGUGCACAAUAAUUGUCUAAGCGCUUAGAAAAUUGCCAUCGAAAAAAUCGGGAUGAUAAUCGAAACUCGAUGGCAUUUUUCCUGUUUGAUAAUCUUAAUUUCUGAAUCGGAUAAUAUUAACUGAAACAUAAUAAAUGUGUCUUCCAGCUUUUCAAUGGUAUUUUCAUUUUGUGUGUAAAAACGGCAAUGUCCCGUUAAACGUUGACAUUAACAUAUUAAAUAAAAAUAAAUGCAGCA